GCUUCUGUAGUGUAGUGGUUGAACAUGCUGUGUUGAACACUGAGAUUGCAGGUUGCUGGUUCAAUUCCCUGUGGUGGCA